rnacentral:rRNA from 1 species
UACGUAGGAUGCAAGCGUUGUCCGGAUUUACUGGGCGUAAAGGGUGCGUAGGCCGCACGGUAAGUCAGAGGUGAAAUCCCGGAGCUCAACUUCGGAAUUGCCUCCGAUACUGCCGUGCUUGAGGACUGGAGAGGAGAUUGGAAUUCACAGUGGAGCAGUGAAAUGCGUAGAUAUUGUGAGGAACACUAGUGGCGAAGGCGAAUCUCUGGACAGUUCCUGACGCUGAGGCACGAAGGCCAGGGGAGCAAACGGG